rnacentral:lncRNA from 1 species
UGCUGUCAAGGGCCAGACCAGUCUGUCAAACCGGUUAGACUGGUUUGCCCAAUCAGCACACACACAAAACAAUCAUCAACCAUAACAUGCAUAUCAAACUAACACAAAGUCACUUAAGAGCAUAAAUAAGUUCUACACACACAGUAGCACAUAUUACAAGUUAUCAAGUCCACAUAGGAAUUAAAUUUGAAUUAUUACAGAACUAUCUCUCAGCCAACAGAACAGACCGUCCCUCUGACCGGUCAGACCGGUGACUACUGACCAGCUACACUAAGUCCUAAAGAUGAAGCUGCUUUAAUCCAUUUCUUCUCCCCCUUUGUCAUCAAGCAUCCAUAAAAGAGCUUGGAGAAGAUGUAGCUGUAGUCACUGAUCCUCAUGUCCAUUUCUUGUUCCUCCCG